rnacentral:rRNA from 1 species
UGACAGUACUCCUACGGGGAGGCAGCAGUGGGGGAAUAUUGCACAAUGGGCGCAAGCCUGAUGCAGCCAUGCCGCGUGUGUGAAGAAGGACCUUCGGGUUGUAAAGCACUUUCAGUCGUGAGGAAGGUAGUGUAGUUAAUAGCUGCAUUAUUUGACGUUAGCGACAGAAGAAGCACCGGCUAACUCCGUGCCAGCAGCCGCGGUAAUACGGAGGGUGCGAGCGUUAAUCGGAAUUACUGGGCGUAAAGCGCAUGCAGGUGGUUUGUUAAGUCAGAUGUGAAAGCCCGGGGCUCAACCUCGGAAUAGCAUUUGAAACUAGGCAGACUAGAGUACUGUAGAGGGGGGUAGGAAUUUCAGGUGUAGCGGUGAAAUGCGUAGAGAUCUGAAGGAAUACCGGUGGCGAAGGCGGCCCCCUGGACAGAUACUGACACUCAGAUGCGAAAGCGUGGGGAGCAAACAGGAUUAGAUACCCUGGUAG